CUAUUUUUUUGCUCUCUCUUUAAGCCUUUCAAUACACAGAGAAAGAAGAAGAAGAUCCAUGAAAAAGAUUGUCAUAGAUAGAGAAAGAAAUUCGAGAAAGAAACGACGGGAGAAGGAGAAAGAAGAUCCACCGGAUAACAACACCUACACAAGUUUCAUACAAGCACACCAUGUGUUUGAUAAAAUGUUCUUUGUAAAUCGUGUUCUUUGGUUGUAAAUUAUCAACGUUUGUUCUAUGAUUUUUGUUGAAGAAAUCAAAGUUUUGUUAUACAUGAGAGAAAGAAGAAGAUCCAUCAAAGAAGAAGAAGAACUACAUGGGUAUUUGAUUUUCUCUACAAUCAUCAUUAUUCUUCCUUCCAAGUAUUUGAUUUUUCUUUCUUUGUUAUUUUUCAAUUUUUGAAUCAGAAUUUAGAAAAUGGUUAUCAAACCUGAAUUUAGUUGUUGUUGUUCUUCAUUAUUUAUUUUAUUUUUCUGUUUUGUUUAUUUGUUUUACUCAUCACUUUCAUUUUCUAUAUGCACACCAUGUGUUUGAUUAAAUGUUGUUGUGGCUUCCCAUCAACAUUAGAAGCAAUGGUGCAAAAAGGUAGUCCAAAGAGAUGAUUUUAUUUUACCAUUUUCAUGGUAUAUUUACCUAACCAUUCAUUCUAUCUUUGGAAAAAAAUCUGCAAAUACUAGGUAAGGUUUAUUUCUCUCCCUUUCAUUCAUUCUUCUUUCCUUUGUCAUUUUAAACCUUGAAAAUUUAACUUUUCAUUUUUUUUGGGAAUGAAGCUUGCGCAAAUGAAACUAAAGAAGAUAAGGAGGUUGUUUUUCAUAUGAAUUUUUGUUCAACAUUUAACCAAAGUUUGGUUUUAAUGCAGGUUUUUAUAUAAAUAUUUUCUCUAAUAUGAAAUUAACAUUUUUUUAUUUAUGUCUAUGAAGUUGAAUCUUGGUAGCUCUUCCAUAGAAAGUGAGUUACAAAAGCUCCAAAGAAAGAGGGCCAACUUCAACAAAGCAGCCACUUUAUCAACUAAGGAUAAAGGAAUAAGUUCAGCAAUGAAAGAACUUUCUUAACCAAGUGCCAAGAUUCAAGAACAACUACCUGUUGCAGAGAGUUCACGCAAAGACAUAGAAUUCAUUCAGGAACAAGUUGUGGCCAUUAAUGAUUCACUUCCAAUUCAGCUUUUACCCAAUCUGAUAUCGACAAGUUGGAUUGGCUAGAUGAUUCUAUUCUAUCCACACCAAAUGUAUCCGCUUCUGCCGAGAAUGACAUGUCUGCUUCUUCUCACAAAACACCUGCCAAAAGGAGUUCUGCUAAGCAGAUAUUAAUGGUGGUAUCUUUUGUUUAAUAUAUGAUAAAAUAUGCAAUUAUCUAACCAAGGAGGGAAUUAUUUGAUAAAAAAAAAACCAAGGAGGGAAUUAUCUUUCAAUUCAGUUUGCAACUUUGGUAAAUCAGGAGAUAUGCAAUUAUCCCAAAUGUCGGCAAUAUCGCAUAUUAAUGGUGAUAUAUUGAAUGUGUAAUGUAUGUUGCAAUAUCCUCCUAAAGUUAGUACAAAAAUUGGAACUGGAUGGAAAGAAUUUUGUAAAAUAGAAGGAUACAAACAUGGUGAUACCAUUAGGUUCAAAUUUGAUAAUAGACUUUCAUCCAAAUUGAUUCAUGUUCGCAAAAUCUAAUUGAAGUUACAUGAUUCUUUAUGAACAAAUGCCAAAUUCAAUUUUAGUUGAAUAUCGAA